rnacentral:rRNA from 1 species
UACGGGGGGGGCAAGCGUUGUUCGGAAUUACUGGGCGUAAAGCGUGCGCAGGCGGUUUUGUAAGCCAGAUGUGAAAUCCCCGGGCUUAACCUGGGAAUGGCAUUUGGGACUGCAAGGCUCGAGUGCGGCAGAGGAGACUGGAAUUCCUGGUGUAGCAGUGAAAUGCGUAGAUAUGCGGAGGAACACCGAUGGCGAAGGCAAUCCCCUGGACCUGUACUGACGCUCAUGCACGAAAGCGUGGGGAGCAAACAGG